GAUGAACGCUGGCGGCGUGCCUAACACAUGCAAGUCGAGCGAUCUUCUUCGGAAGAGAGCGGCGGACGGGUGAGUAACGCGUGGGUAACCUGCCCUGUACACACGGAUAACAUACCGAAAGGUAUGCUAAUACGAGAUAAUAUGCUUUUAUCGCAUGGUAGGAGUAUCAAAGCUCCGGCGGUACAGGAUGGACCCGCGUCUGAUUAGCUAGUUGGUAAGGUAAUGGCUUACCAAGGCAACGAUCAGUAGCCGACCUGAGAGGGUGAUCGGCCACAUUGGAACUGAUACACGGUCCAAACUCCUACGGGAGGCAGCAGUGGGGAAUAUUGCACAAUGGGCGAAAGCCUGAUGCAGCAACGCCGCGUGAGCGAUGAAGGCCUUCGGGUCGUAAAGCUCUGUCCUCAAGGAAGAUAAUGACGGUACUUGAGGAGGAAGCCCCGGCUAACUACGUGCCAGCCGCCGCUGUAA
rnacentral:rRNA from 1 species